GGCAAUAUAUGAAUCGAAGGUUUUCAUGAUUCUAGGUUUGUCUACAUUACCUUAAUUUCUCUUAGGAAAUAGUGUUGUUCUCAAUCCUGUUGUGGUUGCUUCAAAGUUACUUGAAAAGACUCCACAAAAUUUCCAAAAUAAUCUAAACUUCUCACAACAAAAUCAGUUUGUACGGCACUUUGACAUGGAAGAAUUGAAGAAACUCGCAAGAAAAAAUAGAAUACGCAUACGGAACAAGAAACGACCAAAAUAUUCCUCGGAUAACAAUGGUAUGAACUUUUAUAACUAUUUACUGAUUUUCAAUACAAAAUCAUAUACUAUUCCGCUUAAAUUAAUGAACACUUUAUUAUAGUAUGUGCUCUUUUAUUUUCUUUGCGGUAAAUUAUAUUUUUCUAAUUUGUCUUUCUACCUGACUGUUUAAUCUACCAUAAACUUUUUAUCACGUCCUUAAGUUUUUUUAACUAUUCAACGUUGUGGCAUAUUAUUUGUGUAUAUUCUAUUCAUAAAGAGACCAAUAUGUAUGUUAUUCAGUUCCUUUGUUCCAAUCAAUUGUCCUCUAUUCUUUUAUUUGGCUUAAAUUAGAUUUUCCUUCUUUUUACCUGAUUUAUUUUUUCUACUAGAUCAGAAUAAAUAUACCCAAAAUUUUUUAGCAAUAAAUUCGUGAUUGAACUACCUAAUAUUUUUGUCCAUUCCUUGUAUACUUUACUUAUUUUUUGUCUUACUAAGUUGUUUGAUUCUCUGUUUUUCAAUUUCAAAGCUGCAUUUGUUGAUAUUGAAUCUUAUAACAUUUGUUUUUUUAAAAGUUAUUCUGAUGAUUAGUUGUAUAGGUGUAUCAUCUUUAGAUUUCGCCUUUUUACAUGCUUUAGUCAGUUGGAAGUAGAGAAAAUCAACAUUUCAAAUCAGCUCUUCAAUUCUUCUAUACUAAUCUCUAAAGUGAACAUAGCGAAAGUAAAAGGGAGAGGGGUGAAUUGUGGUCGAUUAAAACUUAGUUGAUUAAAUAUGAGUUUAGUCGACUAGAUUCAGCACAAUGAAUAGUUAAAGAGAAGUAAACCAAGCAAACUGAAAGAUAAUAGGACACAACAAUUUUUAUACUGGUUCAGUACCAGUAAGUUACUUACAUCCAGUUUUCCUUGGGUCACAAGGGACUUCUUAGAUCUUUGAUAAUAGGUUACAAUGAUGAUGGUUUUGGUUCGCUCACCAUCAACAACAUUCAAUGAUAAUAGCUUUUCUAAUGUUGACAAAACUCUUUUGUGUUCUAUCUCUUCUUAUCUUUUAUGACACUUGUAGACUCAAGAAUACAGUGUUUGUACUAAGAACUAGAAAGGUUUAGAAUCAGUUUGUGUAGUUGCGUAUCCAAUCCUUAAGUAUGCCAGUCUUCUUAUAGACCAGAUUUGACAGCUGUUAUGAUUUGUUUUGAUUGGUGCACACAAUGUUUUAUUGAUAUUUGAUUCAUGACCCGUGUCUUUAAUUCCUUCAAGAAGGAUGGGCUAGAUUUAAUAAUCCAGGGAGUGCUCCAAGCCGAGAUCUAGGGAGUGCUGCCAUGCUCCAUGCUUAGUCGAAGAAAGGAGCAGUUGAUGGGCUGGAUUAAUUUAUCCGGGGAGUGCUUUCCAUGCUCCAUGAUUUAUUGGGUAGAGGAACAACAUUUCAAGUUGUCUCCAAUUACAUUGUGUUCCCUUUCCAUUUUGAAUCUUCCUUCAUACAGAAUCUGCUAUUUGUAUUUGCAGGUGAGUUACAUGUAAGGCAAUGGUUCAAGAUACAUAAUCAUGGAGUGGAUCUUCAUUCCUUUUUGGCAAUGCUUGCUUCACCUGAAUCUGUAUAUAUUAAUAUAACAUUCAUCAAGACUUCUUUAUGGAUAUUUGAUCAUUAUUAAAAUUCUACACUUAACAAUCUCC
rnacentral:lncRNA from 1 species